rnacentral:rRNA from 1 species
UACGGCUCAGUAACACGUAGCUAAUCUGCCCUCGAGCCAGUUAUACCCUCGGGAAACUGAGGCUAAUGACUGAUAGGAGAUGGAUACUGGAAUGUUCUUUCUCCGAAAAUUUGCGCGAGGAUGAGGCUGCGGCGGAUUAGGUUGUUGGCGGGGUAAUGGCCCACCAAGCCGAUGAUCCGUAAGGGCUCUUAGCGGAGAAGCCCUGAGAGGGGAUCUGAGACACUAUUCCCAGCCCUACGGGGUGCAGCAGUCGAGAAAAUUCUGCAAUGUACGCAAGUAUGACAGAGCAAGCCAGAGUGCUUUUCCGUAUUGGAAAAGCUUUUGUGAUAUGCAAAAAGUAUCACGAAUAAGGACUGGGCAAGACUGGUGCCAGCCGCCGCGGUAAUCCCAGCAGUCCAAGUCGCAAUCACUUUUAUUGGGUCUAAAACAUCCGUAGCCUGCUUUGUAAGUCUCUUGUGAAAUCCGGCCUCUUAAGGGUCGAAGUGCGAGAGAUACUGCAGAGCUAGAGACCGGGAGAGGCACGAAGUACAGACAGGGUACCGGUAAAAUGGGUUGAUCCUUUCUGGACUAUCAACAGCGAAGGCAUCGUGCUAGAACGGAUCUGACAGUGAGGGAUGAAGGCUAGGGGCGCAAAGUGGAUUAGAUACCCAUGUAGUCCUAGCAGUAAACACUGCACACUAAACAUCGGGGCCUCUUCGAGAGGUUUCGGUGCUGUAGAGAAGUCGAAGAGUGUGCUACCUGGGAAGUAUAGUCGCAAGACCGAAACUUAAAGGAAUUGGCGGGGGAG